AGGACGAACGCUGGCGGCGUGCUUAACACAUGCAAGUCGAGCGGUAAGGCCCUUUCGGGGGUACACGAGCGGCGAACGGGUGAGUAACACGUGGGUGACCUGCCCUCAGCUCUGGGAUAAGCCUGGGAAACUGGGUCUAAUACCGGAUAUGACCUUUCCUCGCAUGGGGUUUGGUGGAAAGUUUUUCGGCUGGGGAUGGGCCCGCGGCCUAUCAGCUUGUUGGUGGGGUGAUGGCCUACCAAGGCGACGACGGGU
rnacentral:rRNA from 1 species